rnacentral:rRNA from 1 species
GAUGAACGCUGGCGGUAUGCUUAACACAUGCAAGUCGAACGGGAUGCUUAGGCAUCUAGUGGCGGACGGGUGAGUAACGCGUGAGAAUCUGGCUCCAGGUCGGGGAUAACAGUUGGAAACGACUGCUAAUACCGGAUGUGCCGAGAGGUGAAAGAUUUAUCGCCUGGAGAUGAGCUCGCGUCUGAUUAGCUAGUUGGCGGUGUAAGGGACCACCAAGGCGUCGAUCAGUAGCUGGUCUGAGAGGAUGAUCAGCCACACUGGGACUGAGACACGGCCCAGACUCCUACGGGAGGCAGCAGUGGGGAAUUUUCCGCAAUGGGCGAAAGCCUGACGGAGCAAUACCGCGUGAGGGAGGAAGGCUCUUGGGUCGUAAACCUCUUUUCUCAAGGAAGAAGAAAGUGACGGUACUUGAGGAAUAAGCAUCGGCUAACUCCGUGCCAGCAGCCGCGGUAAUACGGAGGAUGCAAGCGUUAUCCGGAAUGAUUGGGCGUAAAGGGUCUGCAGGUGGAACUGAAAGUCUGCUGUUAAAGAGUUUGGCUUAACCAAAUAAAAGCGGUGGAAACUACAGAACUAGAGUGCGGUAGGGGCAAAAGGAAUUCCUGGUGUAGCGGUGAAAUGCGUAGAUAUCAGGAAGAACACCGGUGGCGAAAGCGUUUUGCUAGACCGUAACUGACACUGAGGGACGAAAGCUAGGGGAGCGAAUGGGAUUAGAUACCCCAGUAGUCCUAGCCGUAAACGAUGGAUACUAGGCGUGGCUUGUAUCGACCCGAGCCGUGCCGGAGCUAACGCGUUAAGUAUCCCGCCUGGGGAGUACGCACGCAAGUGUGAAACUCAAAGGAAUUGACGGGGGCCCGCACAAGCGGUGGAGUAUGUGGUUUAAUUCGAUGCAACGCGAAGAACCUUACCAAGACUUGACAUCCUGCGAAUCCCGGUGAAAGCUGGGAGUGCCUUAGGGAGCGCAGAGACAGGUGGUGCAUGGCUGUCGUCAGCUCGUGUCGUGAGAUGUUGGGUUAAGUCCCGCAACGAGCGCAACCCUCGUUUUUAGUUGCCAGCAUUAAGUUGGGCACUCUAGAGAGACUGCCGGUGACAAACCGGAGGAAGGUGGGGAUGACGUCAAGUCAGCAUGCCCCUUACGUCUUGGGCUACACACGUACUACAAUGCUACGGACAGAGGGCAGCGAGCCAGGGAUGGCAAGCGAAUCCAGAAACCGUAGCUCAGUUCAGAUCGAAGGCUGCAACUCGCCUUCGUGAAGGAGGAAUCGCUAGUAAUUGCAGGUCAGCAUACUGCAGUGAAUUCGUUCCCGGGCCUUGUACACACCGCCCGUCACACCAUGGAAGUUGGUCACGCCCGAAGUCAUUACCCCAACCGAAAGGAGGGGGAUGCCUAAGGUAGGACUGGUGACUGGGGUGAA